UGGCAAUGAUGACUAUCUUAGGACACCUUUGGAAUCACCAUGAAACAAAUGCAAAUUCUGAGCCAC